rnacentral:rRNA from 1 species
AGUGAACGCUGGCGGUAGGUCUAACACAUGCAAGUCGAACGGCAGCACAGUAAGAGCUUGCUCUUACGGGUGGCGAGUGGCGGACGGGUGAGGAAUACAUCGGAAUCUACUUUUUCGUGGGGGAUAACGUAGGGAAACUUACGCUAAUACCGCAUACGACCUACGGGUGAAAGCAGGGGAUCUUCGGACCUUGCGUGAUUGAAUGAGCCGAUGUCGGAUUAGCUAGUUGGCGGGGUAAAGGCCCACCAAGGCGACGAUCCGUAGCUGGUCUGAGAGGAUGAUCAGCCACACUGGAACUGAGACACGGUCCAGACUCCUACGGGAGGCAGCAGUGGGGAAUAUUGGACAAUGGGCGCAAGCCUGAUCCAGCCAUACCGCGUGGGUGAAGAAGGCCUUCGGGUUGUAAAGCCCUUUUGUUGGGAAAGAAAAGCAGCAGGUUAAUACCCCGCUGUUCUGACGGUACCCAAAGAAUAAGCACCGGCUAACUUCGUG